AUUCAUCUUACUGUUUAGCCAGUUCAUGGAGUCACUGAUGUACUUUUCAACCUUUUCCAUUUCAGCAGGAUCCAGGUGAUCAUAUCUUUCAUCCUAUUAAAAAUUAAUAAAAUGGUAAAAGAAAAAGAAGUAACUGAAUUUUGACUCUAAAGCGUCCAAGCUACCUGUAUCACAACAUCUCAAACUUUCACAACAGCUGAGAAGAGGCCUUCUGUGAUCAGAAUUCUUACUUCUGAAAUAAUUAAGUUGCAUAUUGGGAAAACGUAUCCGCACAGAGGACAUAUCCAACUGACACCAGCGCUUCCUGUGACUCCCGACUACCAUCAUUUACUCUCAUCUGUUUAAUCCGACAACCCGACUGAGCAUUCCAUCUCCUCCUCCUCUUCCUCCUUCGCAUUUUUUUUCUUGUUUUUUGAGAUGGAAUUUCUCUGUGUAUUAAGUCCUGGCUAUCUAGGACUCACUUGCAGACCAGGCUGGCCUAGAACUCAGAGAGAUCUGGCUGUUUCUACAGACCUCCCGAGAGCUGGGAUUAAAGGUAUGUGCCACCAUGCCCUGCCCAAGCAUCCAGAUUUUUCUAAUAUUCGAAUUGAGACAAUAGUAUUCAUAAUUCAUAGGUAUUAAAUGGCCUGGUGAGAACAAUGGGAAACCACGCAGUCACAGUCUUAAGAUUUACUAAGACUUGGAGACUCUAAGCUUCUGGGAUGAUGCCAUGCCUCAAAGAUUCUGGUGCUGCUCUCUCACGCAUAUGAAUGCAGUGUUAACAUCAAUGACCAAAUCAGGCUGAUAACAAAUAAAGUUAACCUCAUGGGACAAGUUCAACAAGAUGGUCUUAUUUCUCUUGAGUUUUCUGGAACAGAUCUGUAUCUAUUGGUAUGCUGCAAUACAACAGAAGCAAUGAAGACAGGAGAGACUGUAAGCACCAGUAAUCUCUUCUGGGCUCUGUUCAGAUGCGUGACUAGCCACUUUCUGUUUUAUCCAAAGGACACAUAACAUAUAUUACCCUGCCUGAAGCUUUAAAACAGUGCGGAAUGGAGAGAGUUUUGGGUGUGUAGGAAGAAUAAAAGGAGAUUAUGAAUGGUGAAUGAUAGAUGGAAGAUCAACAACAAAUCAGCUUUGAAAGAAGCAAGAUACAGUUUGGCAGUUAAGAAUCAAGAAAGAUCUUUUUCUCAUGUAAGAAACACAAAAAUGAAAACAGUGGAUUUUGCCAUUGGAUUAAACUUAAGCUAUGACUCUAGGGAAUUCUAAAUGGUGAAAGCUUCGUCUUUUAAAUGUCCUGGAAUCGUCUACUGGUAAUUCUUCACUGAAAAGCUUUUGAUAUGCUCAGUCUGAAGUGGUAACACUGCUGCGCUGGAGUUGAGGAUGUCUGUAGUCACCAUAUGUUAGCAGUAGCGGCCAUCACAACCCCAGUACCUUGUUUCUGUGUGCUUCUAUCACUUUCAGGACAAGCUGAAUCUUUUUCCCCAAGUCA